rnacentral:rRNA from 1 species
GAUGAACGCUGGCGGCGUGCCUAAUACAUGCAAGUCGAGCGAACAGAUAAGGAGCUUGCUCCUUUGACGUUAGCGGCGGACGGGUGAGUAACACGUGGGUAACCUACCUAUAAGACUGGGAUAACUUCGGGAAACCGGAGCUAAUACCGGAUAACAUUUGGAACCGCAUGGUUCUAAAGUGAAAGAUGGUUUUGCUAUCACUUAUAGAUGGACCCGCGCUGUAUUAGCUAGUUGGUAAGGUAACGGCUUACCAAGGCGACGAUACGUAGCCGACCUGAGAGGGUGAUCGGCCACAGUGGAAGUGAGACACGGUCCAGACUCCUGCGGGAGGCAGCAGUAGGAAAUCUUCCGCGAUGGGCGAAAGCCUGACGGAGCAACGCCGCGUGAGUGAUGAAGAGUUUCGGCUCGUAAAACUCUGUUAUGAGGGAAGAACAAAUGUGUAAGUAACUGUGCACGUCUUGACGGUACCUAAUCAGAAAGCCACGGCUAACUACGUG